GAUGAACGCUGGCGGCGUGCCUAAUACAUGCGAGUCGAGCGGACGGACGAGAAGCGUGCUUCUCUGAUGUUAGCGGCGGACGGGUGAGGAACACGUGGAUGACCGACCGAGAAGACUGGGAUAAGUUCGGGAAACCUGAUCUAAUACCGGAUAAUAGUUUGAACCGCAGGGUUCAAAAGUGAAAGACGGUCUUGCUGUCACUUAUAGAUGGAUCCUCGCUGCAUUAGCUAGUUGGUAAGGUAACGGCCUACCAAGGCAACGAUGCAUAGCUGAGCUGAGAGGGUGAUCGGCCACACUGGAACUGAGACACGGUCCAGACUCCUACGGGAGGCAGCAGUAGGGAAUAUUCCGCAAUGGGCGAAAGCCUGACGGAGCCACGCCGCGUGUGUGAUGAAGGUCUUCGGAUCGUAAAACUCUGUUAUUAGGGAAGAACAUAUGUGUAAGUAACUGUGCACAUCUUGACGGUACCUACUCAGAAAGCACCGGCUAACUACGUG
rnacentral:rRNA from 1 species